GCCCCCGUAGCUCAGUGGUUAGAGCAUCUGUCUUGUACCAAAACGCUGAUAGAGAACAGAAGGUCGUGGGUUCGACUCCCAUCGGAGGCA
rnacentral:tRNA from 1 species